rnacentral:rRNA from 1 species
GACGAACGCUGGCGGCGUGCUUAACACAUGCAAGUCGAACGCUGAAGCUCAGCUUUUGUUGGGUGGAUGAGUGGCGAACGGGUGAGUAACACGUGAGUAACCUGCCCCCUUCUUUGGGAUAACGCCCGGAAACGGGUGCUAAUACUGGAUAUUCACUGGUCUUCGCAUGGGGGUUGGUGGAAAGGGUUUUUCUGGUGGGGGAUGGGCUCGCGGCCUAUCAGCUUGUUGGUGGGGUGAUGGCCUACCAAGGCUUUGACGGGUAGCCGGCCUGAGAGGGUGACCGGUCACAUUGGGACUGAGAUACGGCCCAGACUACUACGGGGGGCAGCAGUGGGGAAUAUUGCACAAUGGGCGAAAGCCUGAUGCAGCGACGCCGCGUGAGGGAUGGGGGCCUUCGGGUUGUGAACCUCUUUCGCUAAUGGUCAAGCCGCAACAAUGGUUGUGGUGAGGGUAGUGGGUAAAGAAGCGCCGGCUAACUACGUG